rnacentral:misc_RNA from 1 species
AAGUCGUAACAAGGUCUCCGUAGGUGAACCUGCGGAGGGAUCAUUAACACAGAGGGAGCAGCACCAGUGAGGGGACUCUUUCAACGGAGCACCAACGCUGGUACUGACACUUCUCUUCUCAACACCCAUCUCGCGUGAACUACUAUGACCCUUCUUUUCUGCCUUCGCAGCGCUUGCUGUGGUGGCUUUUUCAUUUUUGAAAUGAAACCCUUUCCAAUGUUAUUUCAACACUUGUAACUGUGCUGGAGCUCUGUGUGUGUGUGUGUGUCGUGUCUGGUGCGAACUAGCGCGCAUCGCAUCGCAUGGUCUCUGAAACUAUUACGAACUACAAUAGAGUACAACUCUUAGCAACGGAUAUCUUGGUUCUC